rnacentral:rRNA from 1 species
CAGAGGAAGCUUUAGGCGCGGCACCUCCUGAGUCCCCUGGAACGGGGCGCCACAGAGGGUGAGAGCCCCGUAUAGUUGGAUGCCUAGCCUGUGUAAAGCUCCUUCGACGAGUCGAGUAGUUUGGGAAUGCUGCUCAAAAUGGGAGGUAAAUUUCUUCUAAAGCUAAAUACCGGCCAGAGACCGAUAGCGCACAAGUAGAGUGAUCGAAAGAUGAAAAGCACUUUGAAAAGAGGGUUAAAUAGCACGUGAAAUUGUUGAAAGGGAAGCGCUUGUGACCAGACUUGCGCCGGGCUGAUCAUCCGGUGUUCUCACCGGUGCACUCUGCCCGGCUCAGGCCAGCAUCGGUUCUCGCGGGGGGAUAAAGGCCCUGGGAACGUAGCUCCUCCGGGAGUGUUAUAGCCCGGGGCGCAAUGCCCUCGCGGGGACCGAGGUUCGCGCUCUGCAAGGAUGCUGGCGUAAUGGUCAUCANCGACCCGUCUUGAAACACGGACCAAGGAGUCAAGGUUUUGCGCGAGUGUUUGGGUGUAAAACCCGCACGCGUAAUGAAAGUGAACGUAGGUGAGAGCUUCGGCGCAUCAUCGACCGAUCCUGAUGUUCUCGGAUGGAUUUGAGUAGGAGCGUUAAGCCUUGGACCCGAAAGAUGGUGAACUAUGCUUG